rnacentral:rRNA from 1 species
UACGGAGGGUGCAAGCGUUAUCCGGAUUCACUGGGGUUAAAGGGUGCGUAGGCGGAUUAGCAAGUCCGUUGUGAAAUCUCUGAGCUUAACUCGGAAAUUGCGGUGGAUACUAUUAGUCUUGAAUACUGUGGAGGUUAGCGGAAUAUGUCAUGUAGCGGUGAAAUGCAUAGAUAUGACAUAGAACACCAAUUGCGAAGGCAGCUGGCUACACAGAUAUUGACGCUGAGGCACGAAAGCGUGGGGAUCAAACAGG